GUCUACUUGACUGGCCACCAAGAUGCAUGCCAGUACAUGCAUCCUCCGAUGGCAGAGACCAGAUAGGUCGCAAAACCAAGCUCUCAAGACAUAGAACAAGAUAAAAGGCCUGGACAACAGGCUUAUAGAGAUGCCUGUGUCUUAUGACAAACAACAAAAAGACAGAGACAAGGAAAAGUACUAUCUCUGGGAGGAAAAGGAUCUACAACCAGGGUCUGGGAUCUCUUGGCUGCAGCAGUCCAGGAGCAAGCAGUGCCCAGCCAGUGAAAUUUUAUCCUGCCCAAGUCGCCAAACUGUAAGGGAGGAAGACAUUUCCUCUACCCACUGUGUGUUCUUCUGGCCAGAGAAUGAAUUUAAUUCACAUGAGACAGAAUGACAGGAGAAAAUUAAACAAAGCUUUAUAACAUGCAUACAUGGGAGAGGCUCAGGCAACCUGAGCAACUUGCCAAAAUGGCUGAAGCCCCCACCUUAAAUAUCAUCUUCAGCUAAAGACAAGGGAGGAUGUUGGGGGUGGGGGAAGUCAGCUACAGGAGGUUACCAGACAAGUACAAUAAACAGGAACAAGAUUAUUAUGCGGAUUUAAGUCCUUGCCUUCUGCAUUGAUAAGAGUUUCUAGAGAUAAGGUCAUUCCCCUUCUUCCUGGUGCAGAGAGGGAGGAAACUUUGCAGAUGGAGAUUUCCUUUACAGUGUAAAUGUCUCUUAACAAAGGGUAGUAAAUUCUACUCCUCAGAGCUCCUUGCCUAUCUGCAGUUUAUUAAAAGUAACCAGCCCCAAAUAACCCUCAUGCCAAAGAGACAUAUCUUGGGGUAGCAAAUUCCAGUCCCCCACACUUUCUUUCCAAAUCCAGGCCCAUUGGUUUUUGACCCUUCCUAGCCCAGAGAGAGCUAUUGCCUUCUUGCUUGCCUCAUUUUGUAUCCAAAGGGCUUGGCUUUCUGCCUGCCAGGGAUAUUCAGGCUGUUGGUUCUUUG
rnacentral:lncRNA from 1 species